UGCCCUCCGAUUCACAUCGUCAAAAAAUUUUGGUCUGUGAACUUCGUGCGGAUGAAAUUCGAUUUGAACGCCAGCGAAAAUAUGCAAAAUAAAGUGAAAUACCAGUGCCUCGCGGACGAGGAGCGCUUCAGCGGAGAGUCCUGCAGCCAUUAAAGUCCAGAGAGCACUUAAAGUUCUGGGAAUUUCGCGGGAAAGCAAGCAGGAGAAGAAGAAGCAGCAGCAACAGUAGUACAAACAGCAAAAGUGUAGUUGUGAUCGAAAAUCGAAAGUGUGAAGCAUUUUCUAUAAAUAGUGCAAAAUCAAAACCCAAUUCCCACUGCAAACAAAAGCGCAAUAAAGCAAUAAUAGGAACAACAGUAAGACACAGCAGCAAUCCAACAGCGCCACAUAGCUACACACAUCUGGAUCAGUCGAGCGAUCUCACAGAGCGCCUGCUCUGCAGCAAAUAGCAGGAUUAUCUGAAGGAUCGUCCGUCUGGCCAAGAAGGAUCUUCCAAGAUGUCCUCGCUGGACGCGCGCAACAACUCGGCGAUGAUGAAGCGCGCCGAGCAGCUGAAGCGCUGGGAGGAGUCGGACACCAACCGCGCCGCCCCCACCCCCCGCCACGAGCACGGGCGCAGGAUCAAGUUCAGCUCCGGCUGCGUCUUCCUCGCCGCCUGCCUCUCCGGCGACAAGGACGAGGUCGUCCAGCUGCUCGACCAGGGCGCCGACAUCAACACCGCCAACGUCGAUGGACUCACCGCCCUGCACCAGGCGUGCAUAGACGACAAUCUGGACAUGGUGGAGUUUCUGGUGGAGCGAGGUGCCGACAUAAACCGGCAGGAUAACGAGGGCUGGACGCCCCUGCACGCCACUGCCUCCUGCGGAUUUGUGAGCAUAGCUCGGUAUUUGGUGGAAAACGGCGCUGAUGUGGCCGCUGUGAACAGCGAUGGCGAUCUGGCCUUGGAUUUGGCCAUCGAUGUGCAGCACAUGGCCAUGAUUGACUACAUGGAGAAGAUGGUGCAGGAGCUGAACAUCAAUGUGGAUGAGGCUCGAAAGGCCGAGGAGCAGGCGAUGCUGAACGAUGCCAAAAAGUGGCUGAGAAGCGAUGCCGCCGAGGUGGAUAGACCGCACCCGAAAACGGGAGCCACAGCCCUCCACGUAGCCGCCGCAAAGGGUUAUACGAAAGUUCUGGGCCUGCUCCUGGCUGGACGUGGCAAUGUUGAUCGCCAGGAUAACGAUGGCUGGACGCCACUGCACGCGGCAUCGCAUUGGGGUCAGCGGGAGACGGCCGAGAUGCUCGUGGAGUCACUGGCCGACAUGGAUAUCCGAAACUAUGCCGGGCAGUCAUGCAUCGAUGUGGCCGAUCGCAAAAUAGUCAAAUUCCUGGAAGAACUGCGGGCCAACAAACGCAACAAGCGGCGACCAUCUAGUCAAAUAAGCAGAAUCUCAGAUGCAAUGGAAAAUCAUGUGGACAAGACGCCCACUAAACUUGUGCGCGUUGAAGUGAGAACUGAUGCCACAAAGGAUGCUGCCAGUGGCUCACGUGAAGCUACCGAAACUGAUUCUUCGAUUCCAAACGCUGCUCAUGAUGAUGAUGAUGAUGUUAGUGGAGGUGGCGAAGUGGUGGCCAGUGGCCAGAGCGAUACAGAAGAGCUGAGUGAUUCCACGGAAAGCUCACACUUGACCAGUCUUUCCGAGAGCGAAGCUGAGAACGUCAAGCCCAACCAGCAGAUCCACGCCGCCGAGCAUCCAGUGGAGGAGGAGGCGCCAUGGCGACGCAAACUGCCCCGCACGCCCAACGACAGUCCCACUAAUAAUCAAGUUCCUGAUAGAGAGCUUAGCAGCAAUAGCUCGGAGACCGCCAACGACGUCAUUUUGCGGCGCACGCAAAGCUUUGAGAACGAUCAAAAGUUCUAUCAAAAGUACAAUGAGCUGCGGGCACGCAUAAAGGCCAACUCCUGUCCCAUUUUGCCGGCGAAUGCAAAUGCUAGUGCCGCUGCUGCCAAUAAAUCCAAUAACAAUAACAACCUAAGUAGCAAUAACUAUCAUAAUAACAACAAUAACAACAACAAAAGCGAUCUGCUAUUGGGAUAUGCUGCUGGCGCCACAACAACAACGACAACAAGCACCUCCACCACAACAACAACCAGUACAUUCAACAACACCCACUCGAACACGAAGAACACAAGCACAAGCACAACACAACAACCACAACAGCAACCAGCAGCAGCAUCGGCAGCAAAUCAAUUAUAUAGCGUACAAAGAUCGGCCUCACUCAAAGAUAACUCAAUGUAUUACAGGAAACCGACGAUUACGAUUGCCACGCCUACGAGCACAGCGUCCACGGCGAUCCAUUCUCCAUCGACAACUGUACAGACCCCACCAAUUCGCAGCCAAGUUACAGCGAAAAUAGCAGAAAAGAGCAAUAAUGGCAACUCGUCCACGGCCAGUGUCAGCGAUGCCGAGAGCUCCAAGCCACCGCCCAAACAAUCCGCGAGCAAUAUGAUCAAGAACUUCUUCAAAUCCUUUGUGCCACCGGUGCGUGAUGAAGAGAGCGAAACGCAACGAAAGGCACAUGCUAAGCGCGUGAGGGAGACUCGCCGGUCCACCCAAGGUGUCACCCUGGACGAGAUCAAGAGUGCCGAGGAGCUGGUUAAGAAGAAGAACAUGGGCAUGGCCAACAACAACAAUAACAACAAUAUCAGCACCACCACCACGAACACGAUCAGCAACAGCGGCAACGAAACAAGCUCUGCAUCAUCGACAUCAGCUCCAACACCAUCCAUCCUCGGCAGCACUGAGCAGCAGGACGAGCUGCAACCACCGCCACCGCCCACCACUCCACCGCCAGCCAUAAUACCCACCACAACAACGGCCACCGAUGAGACGGAGAUCGAGGAGGUGGUGUCCAAUCCUCCAGCUGCCCAAAGUCAGAACGAUACCACUGCUAGCUUUACGCUAUCCGCUCCCGUGCGAAGAUCCCUGUCGGCCGACAGAGAGGCCGAUGCCAAUAGUGAUCCGGAGGGUGAUCAGGAUCAGGCGGUAGUCAGUGCCAGCUAUACGAUAAUGCCCAGGCGGGAACGGCUUCCCGAAAGCUCAGAGAAUGUAGAAAGCAUAAGAUUGCCACAAAAGACUGACCCAGUUGCCAAAACCGCCAGCGAAGAGAAGGCCGAGGAGCCACCACAUGCCAGGCCCACGGAUCUGCCACUGAUUCCGGCUCCCGCUGCUCCUAGCACAGAAGCUAUCAAAUCAUCCUCGGCGGCUACGACGCCCGCUGCCCUCGAGAGCCCAGUGCGUUUGCGGGACAAGCGGGGUCUGGCGGGGUCCGGCAGCCAGGAAUCUGAAACCAAGUCCGAUACCGCCUCGCCCGUGUCCUCCCAUCCGGACUUCAAUGCCCGGGACUCGCUACUCAGUCUAUACGCUCGACGCACAACGGACAGCAGCGCGGGAGGAGGAGGAGGUGGUGGUGUAGGUGUUGCGGGUGGAGCUGCAUCCUCGUCUUCAACAUCGGCAGCAGAACGGCGUCCGUCUUGGCGCCUGAAAUUCGAUGCCGGCUCCAAGUUCAAGUUGGAGGACAUAACCAGCGGUGGCACUUAUCCUCCCAACAACAGCACCAUCAUACCCAGUGCUCCGGCGGUAAUGGCAGCCGCCAACUUAUCAACCACAACUGGUGUCCAGAGGCGCAUCAGCAGCGGUCCCAAUGCACUAAAUGCUUCCAAUCAGUCGCUCAACUCUGUGGGUCGUCCAGUUUCCGCGCCCAGCGAGGGCACGAACAACAGUGCCUACUUCUCGCCCUCAGCUCGCAAAUUCGAGACGAAUGCCACGCCUACGGGAGCAACCACUGCAGCGAUCACGACUAGCAACUCAACCUCCAAUUCUGUGUCUCCCACCAGUGCCAAUCAUACAGCGGCUACGGCACCAAAUGCCACGUCAAACCAUGACGACAAGGAUAAUGAUAAGGAGAACGAUAAUCGCACACAGACCGUCAUUCAGAGGCGACGCAAGCCGAAGCGCAGAUCAACGGGCGUGGUGCACAUCGAUAUGGAUGAACUGGACCCCGAGCGACAGAACGAAUCGUCCAACAACGACAACGAGGAGAAGGAGAAGGAGAGCGGCAGUGAGCGGACAUCCCGUUCCCGCCUGGGCAGCACCGCGAGUACGGCUACCACCAGCGAGUCAAAGAGCUCCAGCAGUAAUGACAAGACGGAGAAUGGCGAUGGCAUUGACUACAAGGCGCUCUGGGAAGCGGAAAAGUUGGAGAACGAUAAGCUGAGGCAGAUGCUCAAGCAGAAGGACGAUGAAGCCCUGCAGACCCGUGCAACGCUCGAAAGAUUCGCCAAUGCCACAACGAAAAAUUCACUAUCUGAACUUGAGAAACGCGAAAGAAGAGCUAUGGAACGCAAGCUUUCCGAGUUGGAAGAAGAGCUCAAGCUAUUGCAGAAGCUAAAGACUGAGAACGACCGUCUGCGAGCCGAGAAUCGGGCCCUCACGCGGGUCGUCUCCAAGCUGACCACCUCGGCUCAGAGUCAGCUGGCCAAGACCAAAUAGGCGCAGAUCAAAAGCAUUUAGAUUGCCCAGCACCAGCCCACAUACACCCCAAAAUUGUCACGACCCUUGCUCACAAGCACAAUGUCGCGAUUAUCGUUAUAUCGUUUAUAUUAGAACUGGAAAAGCAUCGAUGUUUUGCAGGUAAACAUCGAUAACCAAUAAUCAUCGAUGUUUUUCUUGCUUCAGUUUCGUUUUUACAAUACAUAACUUCGAUGUCGUUAAAAAUAUUAUAUGGAUAUUUAAGCAUAACCAAAACCACGAUAAUUAAAUGUAUCGUAGCUAAAUUUAAGUUCACAUUGAGCUCAUUGGCUUUGGACUGGUCACUGGUAAUAUAACAUAGGUAUUUAACAUAUAUAUACUACUACUCCUUGGGAGUUACUAUAUACUACAGACCCUUUGAUAGAACCACAAACUUUAAAGGUAGUUAAUUUUUUAAUAGUAAAAUAUUACUCACACGGCUUGUUCGUUUUUGGUAACCUACACAUUCGCUAGGUGCAAAUGUUGCGAAUUGGAAAUGUAAUUUAUAUCGAACUAUAUCAUAUGGUCCCUACAUAUCACUGUACGGCCGAUAAGCACUUAUAAAUCAAAAGUCAGCCCACUCUCGAAUCAAAUCAAAGUAAAGCUCAUCGAAACCAACGAGAUCAAACAUCAAGUCCCCACCACCAAAAAAAGAUAAAAACUGCAUCGGCGAUUAGCGGCCCAAGGAUCUGGAGGCUAUAUAAAGGGUCUCCAAAAGUCGAUCAUCAGGGAGAGCGAAGUGGUCUAGUUGGUGAUGCUGGAAGCUUAACGCAACUCGAUGCCUACAAGUCGGAUAAUCAUCGCCUGAAGGAGGAAAACGCCGCGUUGAUUAGAGUAAUUAGCAAAUUAAGUAAAUGAAAUUAUGUUUUACUUUCAGUGUAUGUAUGUCUGAGAACCUAUAUCAUCGAGAAGCAACAAUUUUACUUUAGUUACCAGCUGGCAGAAGGCUGAAAAAGAAUGAAAAUGAAUGUUAAAGCAAAAUGCGAUGCAAGCGAAAGCCGGAUAUUCGCGUGAAAAUUUCAAAAUUUGUUUAUUAUUUGUGUAGGCCGUUAAGAAUUAGGUGAAACCAUGUUUCAAAUAUCGUUGAGAAUUGUUUCGUUCGUUUUAUAUAAAGAAUUCUUAUGUAUUUGGUCAAAUUUUAUAUUCGAAAUAGAGAAAAUUAUAAAUAAACUUACACAAAUCAAGCUUAACUAUAUUUACAUAAACAUACGCAACGUGUAUAACUAUCAGAAGAUCAAAAGAAAUGAAAUGGAAAGCGAAAACCUUUACAUACAAACUGAGAACAUAAUCAUCAAAUGAGCCCUAGUUACAUUACAGAUUAGUUUAACUACAUGAUACAUAUAAAUAUAUAUAUAUAUUUUUUCAUAUAUAAAUUAUAUAUACACAUUACAUAAUAUAUAUUUAAAGCAACCGAAUCAUAAGUUCAACAUGUCAAUGUGUAAUAUCAUCGAAGAUCCAGACCGCCAGUUCAUGAGACUCCGGAGAUGUGUCGUAACCAGCCCACGCGUCAUCUUACUAAGUGUAAUCAUUAUCAUCCAAUUGUAAUUGUGUUUAGUGCUGCAUAGAUAAAGGCAUCGGUGAUACCAUCAAAAGCUAUAGCAUGUGUACCCUUAAACUGAGGAGACUUUUUUGCAUAAGCUCCAUGGCGCUGUCCUAUAGAUCGGGAUGGGUUUCACUACGUAUGUCCAAUUAUUUCUGUUAUUUGAGUACCUUAAGAUAAGCAGACACUUUUAGUUCUCUCCUUUACUUCAAAACGUAUUAUAUACAUUUACAUCGUACUAUAUUUUACUUUCGCUUAUAACGAAACGAAUGAUCAUACGCAUAUUUCUGUUAUUUAUUAAAUUCGCUUAAGAGAUUUUGUGUUACUCGUAAAUGGAAACGAUAAUCAAGCAUAAACAAUUAUAAGAACGUGAAUUGUGUAAUAUGUAAAAUUGUGUGAGAAAAUAUUUAUGAAAAUUUGAUUCAAAUACGAAACUUAAUAAAUGUGAUCGCAAGCAAA